CUUCUGGCAUUCCCCCUUCUCACUCCUCUCUCGGGGGGGCCCCUUCCCCUUUGCGUUGGGUGGGCAAUGGAUGCGUGGGCUGCAGCCGGCUGGGCCCCCUGGGUGCUGACAAGGUGGGACCCUCGGGGCACCUGGAAGACCCGCUGCGCUGCGCACUAGCCACACCAGGGGAGCCCGGAGCCCUGCGAUACACUUUCACCCUGUGCUGGAGGCAGAAGACCCCGAGGUUUCUGAGCGAGGCCCAUGGAUGGCGAAGUCUUCCUGAGUCCCAGACCCCAUGUUCUCCUCCCGUGGUCAUUAUGAUGCCCUGCAGGACGGUGGCUCAGGGCCCCCAGAUCCGGCCCCCCUGGGCCCACCCAGCACCUUGCAGGUCACACGGUCCCACCGGAUGAGCGGCAGCUGCGAGGGGCCCCCUCUGAAGCGGCGGGGUGGCCUGGUGGACCACCGGGAUGUCAUCUUGGCCCACCAGGCGCACAAAAUCCAAAGCACCCCCCAGGCCAGGAGGAAGGAAUGGGAGGAAGAAGAGUGGUUGGAUUCUGACAGUGUUCUCUGUGGGUCCAUUACCAGUGAUGGGGAAGAGAAGAAUGAACUAAAUUAGAAGAUGCGUUUGGCUAGCUCAGGGAGCAAUGGUGAAGAGCCAGCUGGAAUGAAACGGACACAUCUUCCUCCCUUUGCCCAUCCUAUUCCCCCACCCUCUCCCCAGACAAAUUAUUUCUCAUUGUUUAUGGGGAUCCAGAGAGGUUCCGCAUGGCAGGUGGGCACUGAGGGCAGGGGCUGGCCCCAUGGCAGGAGAUGAGAGAAAGGCCUGCUGCUGCCAAGAGCCACCCACUCCUUUAUCUGCCUGUCUCCGAGGUCCCUCUGUUUCCUGCCCACACACCUUGCCUGCUAUGUAAUCAGAGGAGAGACGGACGCACCAGCCCUCCAGCCAUUCUCGGUGGUACAGCCUUUUGUUUUUCGUAUCCUUUUUAAAAAUAAACCCAUUG